AGCGAACGCUGGCGGCAGGCUUAACACAUGCAAGUCGAGCGGGCAUCCUUGUGGUGUCAGCGGCAGACGGGUGAGUAACGCGUGGGAACGUGCCCUUCGGUUCGGAAUAACUCAGGGAAACUUGAGCUAAUACCGGAUACGUGCGAGAGCAGAAAGGUUUAUCUGCCGAAGGAUCGGCCCGCGUCUGGUUAGCUAGUUGGUGAGGUUAUGGCUCACCAAGGCGACGAUCAGUAGCUGGUCUGAGAGGAUGAUCAGCCACACUGGGACUGAGACACGGCCCAGACUCCUACGGGAGGCAGCAGUGGGGAAUAUUGGACAAUGGGGGCAACCCUGAUCCAGCCAUGCCGCGUGAGUGAUGACGGCCUUAGGGUUGUAAAGCUCUUUUCUUCGGGACGAUAAUGACGGUACCGGAGGAAUAAGCCCCGGCUAACUUCGUG
rnacentral:rRNA from 1 species